CGCGUCUUAGCAUGCAGUCGAGCGGCAAGCGUCAGCAAUGGCGCCUAGAGCGGCGGACUGGUGAGUAACGCGUGGGUGACCGACCCUGGGGAUGGGGACAGCCGCUGGAAACAGCGGGUAAUACCGAAUACGCUUGUCUGGCUGUGGCCGGAUGAGGAAAGGGGCUUUGGCCCCGCCCCGGGACGGGCCCGCGUCCUAUUAGGUAGUUGGCGGGGUAAGAGCCCACCAAGCCCGAGAUAGGUAGCCGGCCUGAGAGGGCGAACGGCCACACUGGGACUGAGAUACGGCCCAGACUCCUACGGGAGGCAGCAGCUAAGAAUAUUCCGCAAUGGACGGAAGUCUGACGGAGCGACGCCGCGUGGGCGAGGAAGGCCGAAAGGUUGUAAAGCCCUUUUGUCGCUGAAGAAUAAGGGGGGCAGGGAAUGGCCGCCUGAUGACGUUAGGUGAUGAAUAAGCCCCGGCUAAUUACGUGCCAGCAGCCGCGGUAACACGUAAGGGGCGAGCGUUGUUCGGAAUUAUUGGGCGUAAAGGGCGCGUAGGCGGCCGCGUAAGUCCGGCGUGAAAUGGCGGGGCCCAACCCCGUCACUGCGUUGGAAACCGCGCGGCUAGGGUCACGGAGGGGCAGUUGGAAUUCCUGGUGUAGGGGUGAAAUCUGUAGAUAUCAGGAAGAACACCGGUGGCGAAGGCGAACUGCCAGCCGAUGACUGACGCUGAGGCGCGAAAGCGCGGGGAGCAAACAGGAUUAGAUACCCUGGUAGUCCGCGCUAUAAACGAUGCACACUAUGUGUCGGGUCGAGCGAUUCGGCGCCGGAGCGAACGCGAUAAGUGUGCCGCCUGGGGAGUAUGCCCGCAAGGGUGAAACUCAAAGGAAUUGACGGGGGCCCGCACAAGCGGUGGAGCAUGUGGUUUAAUUCGAUGAUACGCGAGGAACCUUACCUGGGUUUGACUGGGUUAGCGGAGGCCGCGGAGACGCGGCCGCGUAGCAUACGCGCUAUCACAGUGCUGCAUGGCUGUCGUCAGCU
rnacentral:rRNA from 1 species